rnacentral:rRNA from 1 species
GACAGAGGGUGCAAACGUUGUUCGGAUUUACUGGGCGUAAAGCGUGUGUAGGCGGCUUGGCAAGUUGGAUGUGAAAGCCCACGGCUCAACCGUGGAAGCGCAUCCAAAACUGCUUCGCUCGAGUCUCGGAGAGGAAGGUGGAAUGCUUGGUGUAGAGGUGAAAUUCGUAGAUAUCAAGCAGAACACCUGCGGCGAAGGCGGCCCUCUGGACGAUGACUGACGCUGAGACACGAAAGCGUGGGGAGCAAACAGG